CGCACGCAACCCAUGGCGCCGCCCAGCUCGCCGCCCCUGGCCGUCGGACCGUCGCGAGGCAAGCGCACGUCCUCCGCCCAGGCCGCGCCCGAGGCCGACCUGGUGGCCACGGUCACCACGCGCCCGCGCAAGGGCACCGCAUCCAGGAAGAAGAAGCUUGUGCUCAAGGCGGCGGUGGGCAAGAAGCAGGCACCACAUCCGGGAAGAAGUUUGUGCUCAAGGUGGCGGCGGGCAAGAAGCAGCAGAAUUGGUGAGACUUGAGAGGCUAGGGUUUGUCUUGUUCCAGUGAACUGCAGGCUUGAUGUGCAUAUAUGUGACUAUUUUCUUAUGAUGAACUUGAAGAUGGUGGUUAAGGUAUUCAUGGUGGAGGGAAAGGUUGAUGUUGGUCUUGGUGAUGAACUUGAAGAUGGUGGUUAAGGUAUUCAUGGUGGAGGGAAAGGUUGAUGUUGGUCUUGGUCCUAUCUAGGCGCAUGGGAGUAAGCUCGAGCUGCAGACGAGCUCAGACUCUAUAGGAGGAGCAUGUUCCGCUGCGCCUCUCCCACCUCCUCGGCGCACAAGGGGAUGGCCAGCGCCGCUCAGCAGUAGGGUGUUGAUCACAAGAUAGUAAAUGAUUUCCCUAUUAGUAGAGGUCUGAAGGUUCGAGAAGGGACGAAAGAUGAAGAAUUUUGUUGAGAGGACCUACUAGUGACAUGAACAAGAAUAGAGGGAUGAAAAUGUAAAACUCACCUUGUAUAUACUACUCCCGUGGAGGGAUGGAAGGAUAAGGUCAAUCCUCAAUGUUCCAGACUUCUCUCCCCUUCUUGAGCUAAUCAACAUGGCAUCAGAGCCACCCGUCUCCGGCGAGGCAGCGGCGGCCGUGGAACGGC